UACGGGGGGGGCAAGCGUUGUCCGGAAUUACUGGGCGUAAAGGGCUCGUAGGCGGCCAACUAAGUCAGACGUGAAAUCCCUCGGCUUAACCGGGGAACUGCGUCUGAUACUGGAUGGCUUGAGUUUGGGAGAGGGAUGCGGAAUUCCAGGUGUAGCGGUGAAAUGCGUAGAUAUCUGGAGGAACACCGGUGGCGAAGGCGGGUCUCUGGGCAGUAACUGACGCUGAGGAGCGAAAGCGUGGGGAGCGAACAGG
rnacentral:rRNA from 1 species